CUCUGGAUUGUAAACUUCUUUUAUUUGGGAAGAAAUCCCGGAUUUCUUUUCGGGUUGACGGUACCAGAUGAAUAAGCACCGGCUAACUCCGUGCCAGCAGCCGCGGUAAUACGGAGGGUGCAAGCGUUAUCCGGAUUCACUGGGUUUAAAGGGUGCGUAGGUGGGCAGGUAAGUCAGUGGUGAAAUCUCCGGGCUUAACCCGGAAACUGCCAUUGAUACUAUCUGUCUUGAAUACCGUGGAGGUGAGCGGAAUAUGUCAUGUAGCGGUGAAAUGCUUAGAUAUGACAUAGAACACCAAUUGCGAAGGCAGCUCACUACGCGAAUAUUGACACUGAGGCACGAAAGCGUGGGGAUCAAACAGGAUUAGAUACCCUGGUAGUCCACGCCCUAAACUAUGGAUACUCGACAUCGCGAUAUACAGUUGUGUCUGAGCGAAAGCAUUAAGUAUCCCACCUGGGAAGUACGACCGCAAGGUUGAAACUCAAAGGAAUUGGCGG
rnacentral:rRNA from 1 species